rnacentral:rRNA from 1 species
UACGAAGGGGGCUAGCGUUGCUCGGAAUUACUGGGCGUAAAGGGAGCGUAGGCGGACAUUUAAGUCAGAGGUGAAAUCCCGGAGCUUAACUUCGGAACUGCCUUUGAUACUGGGUGUCUUGAGUGUGAGAGAGGUAUGUGGAACUCCGAGUGUAGAGGUGAAAUUCGUAGAUAUUCGGAAGAACACCAGUGGCGAAGGCGACAUACUGGCUCAUUACUGACGCUG